rnacentral:rRNA from 1 species
CCCUUAGAUGUUCUGGGCUGCACGCGCGCUACACUGAUGCAUGCAACGAGUUUUCGACCUUGCCUGAAAAGGUUGGGUAAUCUGUUUAACGUGUCGUGAUGGGGAUAGACCAUUGCAAUUAUUGGUCUUCAACGAGGAAUUCCUAGUAGACGUAGUUCAUCAGACUGCAUCGAUUACGUCCCUGCCCUUUGUACACACCGCCCGUCGCUCCUACCGAUUGAAUGCUCAGGUGAGCCAUUCGGACCUUCAUCAUGCCGGUUUCCGGUUUUGAUGAGGGAAAGUCUUGCGAACCUUAUCAUUUAGAGGAAGGAGAAGUCGUAACA